rnacentral:rRNA from 1 species
CUGGCGAGCGGCGAACGGGUGAGUAAUACAUCGGAACGUGUCCUCUUGUGGGGGGAUAACCAGUCGAAAGAUUGGCUAAUACCGCAUGAGAUCGCAAGAUGAAAGCAAGGGACCGCAAGGCCUUGCGCGAGAGGAGCGGCGAUGUCGGAUUAGCUAGUUGGUGGGGUAACGGCCUACCAAGGCGACGAUCCGUAGCUGGUCUGAGAGGACGACAGCCACACUGGGACUGAGACACGGCCAGACUCCUACGGGAGGCAGCAGUGGGGAAUUUUGGACAAUGGGGGCAACCCUGAUCCAGCCAUGCCGCGUGUGUGAAGAAGGCCUUCGGGUUGUAAAGCACUUUCGGACGGAACGAAAUCGGCGGGUUAAUAGUCCGGGUGGAUCGCACGGUACCGUAAGAAAGACGCAACAGGCUAACUACGUGCCAACAGCCGCGG